rnacentral:rRNA from 1 species
AUUGACAGGUGGAGAGUUCUUUCACGAUUCAGUGGAUGGUGGUGCAUGGCCGUUCUUAGUUGGUGGAGUGAUUUGUCUGGUUAAUUCCGAUAACGAACGAGACUCUCACUUGCUAACUAACAACACACGUGGCUUGUGCGUGCCAUGCGUGCCCUUCACGGGGUGUGUGUGCGUGCGCGCUUGUCCACUACGCGAUUGUCUUCUUAGAGGGAUUUACAGCAGCCAAACACAGCCGAAUCGAGAAACCGAGAGCAAUAACAGGUCAGUGAUGCCCUUAGAUGUUCUGGGCUGCACGCGCGCUACAAUGCCUGGUUCAGCAGGUGUUUGUGUGACAUUUCGAAGCACACACCUUCUCUGAGAGGAGCUGGGUAAUCCUGUGAAAGCCGGUAUUGUAGCGCGUUCAUGCUUGUUCGUGCGUUAGCCUUGUGCGCGCGCGGACUUGUGUGUCAGUUGUGCACAUAUGCUUGGGGCAUGCUUGGGCCUGGGUCUUGGAAUUUUUUCCCACAAACGAGGAAUGCCUAGUAGAGGCCAGUCACGGAGUUUGCCGCGACUGAGUCUAUGCCCUUUGUACACACCGCCCGUCGCUACUACCGAUUGUGGGUACACAAGUGAGAUCUUUGGACUGUCUGAGCCUCGUGCGUUGGUGCAAGCUUGCGCAUCGAGUUAUGCGAUGAUGGGAAGAGGCUCGAACUUGUGUACCUAG